rnacentral:rRNA from 1 species
AGAGUUUGAUCCUGGCUCAGGACGAACGCUGGCGGCGCGCCUAACACAUGCAAGUCGAACGAGCGAGAGAGAGCUUGCUUUCUCGAGCGAGUGGCGAACGGGUGAGUAACGCGUGAGGAACCUGCCUCAGAGAGGGGGACAACAGUUGGAAACGACUGCUAAUACCGCAUAAGCCCACGACCCGGCAUCGGGUAGAGGGAAAAGGAGCAAUCCGCUUUGAGAUGGCCUCGCGUCCGAUUAGCUAGUUGGUGAGGUAACGGCCCACCAAGGCGACGAUCGGUAGCCGGACUGAGAGGUUGAACGGCCACAUUGGGACUGAGACACGGCCCAGACUCCUACGGGAGGCAGCAGUGGGGAAUAUUGCACAAUGGGGGAAACCCUGAUGCAGCGACGCCGCGUGGAGGAAGAAGGUCUUCGGAUUGUAAACUCCUGUUGUUGAGGAAGAUAAUGACGGUACUCAACAAGGAAGUGACGGCUAACUACGUGCCAGCAGCCGCGGUAAAACGUAGGUCACAAGCGUUGUCCGGAAUUACUGGGUGUAAAGGGAGCGCAGGCGGGAAGACAAGUUGGAAGUGAAAUCCAUGGGCUCAACCCAUGAACUGCUUUCAAAACUGUUUUUCUUGAGUAGUGCAGAGGUAGGCGGAAUUCCCGGUGUAGCGGUGGAAUGCGUAGAUAUCGGGAGGAACACCAGUGGCGAAGGCGGCCUACUGGGCACCAACUGACGCUGAGGCUCGAAAGUGUGGGUAGCAAACAGGAUUAGAUACCCUGGUAGUCCACACUGUAAACGAUGAUUACUAGGUGUUGGAGGAUUGACCCCUUCAGUGCCGCAGUUAACACAAUAAGUAAUCCACCUGGGGAGUACGACCGCAAGGUUGAAACUCAAAGGAAUUGACGGGGGCCCGCACAAGCAGUGGAGUAUGUGGUUUAAUUCGACGCAACGCGAAGAACCUUACCAAGUCUUGACAUCCUGCGACGGACAUAGAAAUAUGUUUUUCCUUCGGGACGCAGAGACAGGUGGUGCAUGGUUGUCGUCAGCUCGUGUCGUGAGAUGUUGGGUUAAGUCCCGCAACGAGCGCAACCCUUAUGGUCAGUUACUACGCAAGAGGACUCUGGCCAGACUGCCGUUGACAAAACGGAGGAAGGUGGGGAUGACGUCAAAUCAUCAUGCCCUUUAUGACUUGGGCUACACACGUACUACAAUGGCGUUAAACAAAGAGAAGCAAGACCGCGAGGUGGAG